rnacentral:lncRNA from 1 species
GUUCAGUUUUCUUCUAAGAAGGGCCUCCCAAUUUUCUGCCUGGGCAUUGCAAGCAUGGCUGCUGGUUUUCUGGAAGCAGGGUUGGGAAGCAAGGUGGAGUUUCACUUUGUGUGUGCCAUUUGCUCCCAUUUCCCAGGUUUCAGCCCUGGUGGGUCUGAGCUCAGAAACCUUCAGGUGUAAUAUAUCCAGGGAAUACACAUCCACAUUCCUUCUAAGAGGAGAGGAUAGGUGGACCUGCGGUUCUAACCACAGAUUUACUAUUGACCUUGCCGGCUCUGUUGUGUUUCACCCUACCUUCCCAGAUACCUCCAUGGCAUCUUGAUAGAAAAUACAGCUCAUGUUCCACCAUAUUCCUGGAUAACAGCACAGUUAGCAAGCCUGAUCUCAGCCAAAUAUUAGGAUGGUGAGUACAACGAGGUUGCCAAGGGCUGAGUGACAGACCCCCGUAAGCUAAAAGCAUCCCGGCCAUCCGCUGUUAGUUCAGCCAUUUGGUUGCCCUUUUCAGCAGGCAGUUGGAGAAUUUGAUAUCAAUGAUAAAUGGCUUUUUCGGGACCUAAGUAUGAAUUUGCUGUAUCUCUAUUUAUCUUAGACACUGUGUGGUAAAAGGGAAAGCCAGUUAGCAAAUAAGCAAUCCCAGAAAAAGCAUAGUUAUUUAUUUGAUGCAUUUAUGUUAUGGCAGUAUUGAACCUAAUGGGCAGGAGAAGUGCUU